rnacentral:rRNA from 1 species
UGGCGGCGUGCCUAACACAUGCAAGUCGAACGCGAAAGGGGCUUCGGCCCUGAGUAGAGUGGCGAACGGGUGAGUAACACGUGGGUGACCUACCUUCGAAUGGGGGACAACGUCCCGAAAGGGACGCUAAUACCGCAUAACAUCCUGCCUUUGAACAGGUGGAGAUCAAAGCUGGGGAUCGCAAGACCUGGCGUUUGAAGAGGGGCCCGCGUCCGAUUAGCUAGUUGGUGAGGUAACGGCUCACCAAGGCGACGAUCGGUAGCCGGCCUGAGAGGGCGGACGGCCACACUGGGACUGAGAUACGGCCCAGACUCCUACGGGAGGCAGCAGUGGGGAAUUGUUCACAAUGGGCGCAAGCCUGAUGACGCAACGCCGCGUGGAGGAUGAAGGUCUUCGGAUUGUAAACUCCUGUUGCCCGGGACGGAAAGCUUCGGCCUAACACGUCGAAGUCUGACGGUACCGGGUGAGGAAGCCCCGGCUAACUCUGUGCCAGCGGCCGCGGUAAUACAGAGGGGGCAAGCGUUGUUCGGAAUUACUGGGCGUAAAGGGCGCGUAGGCGGCCUUCUAAGUCGAACGUGAAAUCCCUGGGCUCAACCCAGGAACUGCGUCCGAGACUGGGAGGCUUGAAUCCGGGAGAGGGAUGCGGAAUUCCAGGUGUAGCGGUGAAAUGCGUAGAUAUCUGGAGGAACACCGGUGGCGAAGGCGGCAUCCUGGACCGGCAUUGACGCUGAGGCGCGAAAGCCAGGGGA